CUGCGUUCGGCAGGCGCUGCGGAGACGCGUAGAGGAGCGCGCCCCCCGGCCGCUGCCGCCCCUGGCCCGUGCCGUCACCCCGCUUCUCCGCGCCUCGGGCGGUACCCAGCCAGUCCCCAGCGCCGCGCUACCGCGCUGACCGGCCCUCCAGACGCCUCCCGGUACCCGGGACCCCAGCCCGGCCGCUCGCCCGCAGCCCGCCGGCCGCACACGUCCCCGGAGCCGGGCCUAGGGCGGGCGGCAGCGGCGGCUCGGCGCAGUCAGGCUGGGCUCUGUAGCGUCCCCAUGGCCGCGGCCGGCUGGCGGGACGGCUCCGGCCAGGAGAAGUACCGGCUCGUGGUGGUCGGCGGGGGCGGCGUGGGCAAGUCGGCGCUCACCAUCCAGUUCAUCCAGGUCUUUCGAAACUCUUGGGUUCCUUCUUUCAUUCAUGUAUUUCAAAUUUGAAAGCUACAAGAAUUGUUUUCCUUCCAUCCAUAUCUCCUAGCAACCCAGUUAAACCCACAGUCCUAUUUUGUAACGGAUUAUGAUCCAACCAUUGAAGAUUCUUACACAAAGCAGUGUGUGAUAGAUGACAGAGCAGCCCGGCUAGAUAUUUUGGAUACAGCAGGACAAGAAGAGUUUGGAGCCAUGAGAGAACAGUAUAUGAGGACUGGCGAAGGCUUCCUGUUGGUCUUUUCAGUCACAGAUAGAGGCAGUUUUGAAGAAAUCUAUAAGUUUCAAAGACAGAUUCUCAGAGUAAAGGAUCGUGAUGAGUUCCCAAUGAUUUUAAUUGGUAAUAAAGCAGAUCUGGAUCAUCAAAGACAGGUGAGAAGGAA
rnacentral:lncRNA from 10 species